CGAGACCGCGCACUUUUCCCGAACCGGUUCAGACCAGACGGUGCGACCAGGUUUGGGAUACCGACAAUGCUGUCUCCAUGCUGGAGUGGCAGGAGAGGAAACAAGACAAUGGCUACUGUAAAGUAGUGCCACCCAGAGGCCGUCGAGCUGAGCAGAGGGAGAAACACUUCAUGUGAUAAUGCAUCCUCUGAGCUGUGAGCUCAGCACACUGCAACGUCGGCGAGCCAACAGGAUCAAACCGGGCAGAGCCAGUCGUGCUGCCCAAUCAUCACAGAGUAGGGGGGAAGGCGCCGAAGUAGACACAUUCCUCUUCAUGAACGUCGCACAGUCAACAACACACAGACGUUUUCUGCUGCAACACCAAAAAAAUCUCCCUUCUUAUUUGUCAUGUCCACUGCAUACACACAAACCACACAUGUUUUACUGGGAGGCUGCUGUAACCCUUGUUACACUGUUGGGAUCUAUGUUUUUACAAGCACUGGAAAAUACUUGACACAGACAUGGCUCCCUGCAGGACUGUUAAAGUAAUGGUUUUCCUUUUGAGAUGUAGUGUGAAAAUGAAGUAGAAGUGGCAUCAUAAAGCCUUGACUUCAUUUAGGCCUGCUGUAUAAAAGCCCAGCAGUGUUUGCAUAGACAAUCAGCACAGAAGAUUGAACUAAUAGCUGUUCACUUUUUGUCAUCACGAGGUGAACAAACAUUUCAUUGUUGUUGGCUGUGAGGUUAUUUAGGCUCCAGGGUCGCAUUUAGCAAGGAUGAGACGUAUGAGGAGCUAUUUAAUGACUUGUAGACCAACAGUGUUUUUCAUGUGGCUGUCGUUUCCAGGGUUUAAGUACAUUUGAAUGAAUGCAAAACACAGAUAAGUGCACAUGGAAAUAGCUUUAGGCUUCAUUAGGUUGUUAGAACUAUGGCAACACAUUGUCUGAGGUUAGAGAGUCCUCUGGUGGUGGACUCACAGAUUACAACAAUUGAUCCAGAGGAAAUUCAAAGAUUACAGUUGCUCUUCUUUUUACUUCUUAAUCAUAAUGUUUGAAACUUUAAAAGAAAAUUAAACACACACACACACACACCACAUUGUUAUUAACAAGAUCAAAUGAUUAUUUAUCAUUUCAGAAGUGUUCAGCAUUGAUCCUGUGCUGUUGUUAUAGCAGUUUUUCAGCAUUGAAUUGUAAAAAUCUUUCAUUUCAAGAAUGUAAUUCAUGUAAAACUUUAAAUUCCAGCACUGCAUAUCGCCGCUUUGACAAUCCUCUAACUCUGUGAUAAAUAUUUCAGUAACCCUUGCAUUCACCUCCACCGUCCAGACGAGUGCAGCACUGAGUUGUUUCUAAACCGAACACUGGUAAAGUGGGGAUGGAUCCAUGUGAUCAACUCACAGACAGAAACACACGAUUUGUUCCAAGUCUGACCUAAUUUAGUGUUGUUAAAGGAUUGGGGAAGAAAUUCUAAGAAAACCGAUCAAAAAUGUCGGCCUGCUUAUAGUUGAUUUAACAGCUGAACGAUGGUGUUUGCAGCCAGCUUAAAGAUCCUUCCAGACAAAUACUCCUCUUGGAAUAAUAGGCUAAUUAAUUUGUGUCUGAUAUGAUCCCCCCCCCCAAAUAAAGAAGUUCAAUUACCUUGUUAAAAAAUAUUUAAAUUACAUUUACUCCUUCUCCCUCAUUAAAAAAAUG